rnacentral:rRNA from 1 species
UACAGAGGGUGCAAGCGUUGUUCGGAAUUAUUGGGCGUAGAGCGCGUGUAGGCGGCUUUGCAAGUCGGGUGUGAAAUCCCUCAGCUCAACUGAGGAAGUGCGCCCGAAACUGCAGAGCUUGAGUACCGGAGAGGAUGGCGGAAUUCCCGAAGUAGAGGUGAAAUUCGUAGAUAUCGGGAGGAACACCGGUGGCGAAGGCGGCCAUCUGGACGGAUACUGACGCUGAGACGCGAAAGCGUGGGGAGCAAACAGG